rnacentral:rRNA from 1 species
CAGCCGUAAACUAUGCGCGUUAGGUGUAUCGGUGACCACGAGUUACCGAGGUGCCGAAGGGAAACCGUGAAACGUGCCGCCUGGGAAGUACGGUCGCAAGGCUGAAACUUAAAGGAAUUGGCGGGGGAGCACCACAACAGGUGGAGCCUGCGGUUUAAUUGGACUCAACGCCGGGAAGCUCACCGGAUAGGACAGCAGAAUGAUUGCCGGGCUGAAGACCCUGCAUGACUAGCUGAGAGGGUGUGCAUGGCGUAGACGU